rnacentral:rRNA from 1 species
GACGAACGCUGGCGGCGUGCCUAAUACAUGCAAGUCGAACGGUCUUUUCUAUGGAAGCUUGCUUCCACUGAGAAGAUAGUGGCGAACGGGUGAGUAACACGUGGGUAACCUGCCCAUAAGAGGGGGAUAACAUCCGGAAACGGGUGCUAAUACCGCAUAGUUUUCUUGAUCGCAUGAUCGAGAAAGGAAAGACGGCCUUUGUGCUGCCGAUUAUGGAGGGACCCGCGGCGUAUUAGUUAGUUGGUGAGGUAACGGUUCACCAAGACGAUGAUACGUAGCCGACCUGAGAGGGUGCUCGGCCACAUUGGGACUGAGACACGGCCCAAACUCCUACGGGAGGCAGCAGUAGGGAAUCUUCCGCAAUGGACGAAAGUCUGACGGAGCAACGCCGCGUGAGUGAAGAAGGUUUUCGGAUCGUAAAACUCUGUUGUCAGAGAAGAACAAGUCGGAGAGUAACUGCUCCGGCCUUGACGGUAUCUGACCAGAAAGCCACGGCUAACUACGUGCCAGCCGCCGCAGUAAGAC